UUGUCUCUCUGUCCUGUCUCUGACUGGUCAUAUUGUCUCUCUGUCCUGUCUCUGACUGGUCAUAUUGUCUCUCUGUCCUGUCUCUGACUGGUCAUAUUGUCUCUCUGUCCUGUCUCUGACUGGUCAUAUUGUCUCUCUGUCCUGUCUCUGACUGCUCAUAUUGUCUCUGUCCUAAGUCUCUCUCUCUCUAUCUCUCGUUCGUUCGUUUGUUCGUUGUAUUAAAUGAGAGCGGAUAACCUGUCGAACCUUUUAUAAAGUUAGUAGCCUGAUUUGAUAUGAAACACUUUUCCCCAAAGCCUUUUUGAAGCCUGGGUCACGUUCAUCAGGCACCAAAUGGACACAAACGGGGAGUACUAUUUUUUUUAUUUUUGUUUUGUGUGUGUUGCACAAUGUUUUUGAAACGUAUUGCUACGAUGGGCCCUAAUGAACACGACCCAGGUGUGACGCCCAUGGACAAACAGGCAGCAAGUCAACAAGGAUAUUAUGAACAUUUUUAAAGGGCUUUUACCUCAAGUGUAAAACCAGUGUGAGAAAGAGACAGCUUAGGGGCUGUAGUAGUGUAAUUCAUCCUGAUUCUGUUGUCUUUUUUUUUUUUAAUUAAAGUUUUCACAUAAUAACAAAAAUAUACUUGUCCAUCUUAUUAUGCAACUGAUGAACUUUUUCUGAGUCUUCUUGUGUGAAAGACUGGUCUCCUGACAUGCGUUGAUAUGAUUGGUAGGGCAAGGUGUCUCAACUGUCUGUCCUGUUAGUUUUUUUGCAUGUCUCCUGAUGAACGUAAAACUACCACCUGCAUCCCAAAUGGAACACUAUUCCCUACUUAGUGCACUACUUUACACCAGAGCCCUAUGGAACCCUAUUCCCUAUAUAGUGCACUACUUUAGACCAGAGCCCUAUGGAACCCUAUUCCCUAUAUAGUACACUACUUUAGACCAGAGCCCUAUGGAACCCUAUUCCCUAUAUAGUGCACUACUUUAGACCAGAGCCCUAUGGAACCCUAUUCCCUACUUAGUGCACUACUUUAGACCAGAACCCUAUGGAACCCUAUUCCCUACUUAGUGCACUACUUUAGACCAGAGCCCUAUGGGCCCUAUAUAGGGAAUAGGGUGCAGUUUGGAACUAAGAGUUAGUUUCAAAACCACUUGCUAGAGGAGCUCUGGAAAAAUGAUAACACUUUACUUCAAGCCUGCAGGUAUAAUGCUUCAUAACUGCUCAUAAGCACCUAUAAGAGUAUUAUCUUGUCUCUUUAUGUCAACUGACUCAAACGGCUGGUAUUUCAUCCAUUAUGAGAUGAGACAUUUAUAAUAGGGUCAUAUGCUUAUGACAAUGCAUUAUAGCCGCAUCAUAAUGCAUUAUAACCUCUGGUAUUAAGUAAAGUUGUACUGAAGUUACGACUGGUUUUUCACUACCGUCCAUGAUGAUAGACCCAUUAUCUCCUACCUGUUCUACACUGGUCCCCCACAGCGGUUAGUCUCCUACCUGUUCUACACUGGUCCCCCACAGCAGUUAGUCUCCUACCUGUUCUACACUGGUCCCCCACAGCGGUUAGUCUCCUAGCCUGGUCCCCCAGCGGUUAGUCUCCUAGCCUGGUCCCCCACAGCGGUUAGUCUCCUAGCCUGGUCCCCCACAGCGGUUAGUCUCCUAGCCUGGUCCCCCACAGCGGUUAGUCUCCUAGCCUGGUCCCCC
rnacentral:lncRNA from 1 species